AACGAACGCUGGCGGCAGCCUUUACAGAUGCAAGUCGAGCGCGCCUUCGGGUGAGCGGCGGACGGGUUAGUAACGCGUGGGAACGUGCCCUUCUCUACGGAAUAGCCUCUGGAAACGGAGAGUAAUACCGUAUACGCCCUUUGGGGGAAAGAUUUAUCGGAGAAGGAUCGGCCCGCGUUAGAUUAGGUAGUUGGUGGGGUAACGGCCUACCAAGCCUACGAUCUAUAGCUGGUUUUAGAGGAUGAUCAGCAACACUGGGACUGAGACACGGCCCAAACUCCUACGGGAGGCAGCAGUGGGGAAUAUUGCACAAUGGAGGAAACUCUGAUGCAGCGAUGCCGCGUGAGUGAAGAAGGCCCUUGGGUUGUAAAGCUCUUUCGUCGGGGAAGAAAAUGACUGUACCCGAAUAAGAAGGUCCGGCUAACUUCGUG
rnacentral:rRNA from 1 species